rnacentral:rRNA from 1 species
AUUGAACGCUGGCGGCAGGCUUAACACAUGCAAGUCGAGCGGGGUGAUGGUGCUUGCACUAUCACUUAGCGGCGGACGGGUGAGUAAUGCUUAGGAAUCUGCCUAUUAGUGGGGGACAACAUCUCGAAAGGGAUGCUAAUACCGCAUACGUCCUACGGGAGAAAGCAGGGGAUCACUUGUGACCUUGCGCUAAUAGAUGAGCCUAAGUCGGAUUAGCUAGUUGGUGGGGUAAAGGCCUACCAAGGCGACGAUCUGUAGCGGGUCUGAGAGGAUGAUCCGCCACAAUGGGACUGAGACACGGCCCAGACUCCUACGGGAGGCAGCAGUGGGGAAUAUUGGACAAUGGGGGGAAACCUGAUCCAGCCAUGCCGCGUGUGUGAAGAAGGCCUUAUGGUUGUAAAGCACUUUAAGCGAGGAGGAGGCUCUUUUGGUUAAUACCCAAGAUGAGUGGACGUUACUCGCAGAAUAAGCACCGGCUAACUCUGUGCCAGCCGCCGCCGUAA